rnacentral:misc_RNA from 1 species
ACGUAAGGGGAGGGAAUAAGACACGUGUUGUCUCGGUUAUCUUUCUUGUAGUCCAAGGUUCAAAGGUAUCAAAGGCAGUGAAAAGGGAAAGCACUCUUGCUAUUAUGGCGGCUCGAGGAGAUGUUGAUCUUGUUGGGGCAGUCGACCAAGGGACUAGUAGCUCCAGAUUUUUGAUCUUCAACAGUCGUACUGCGGAGCUUGUUACCUAUCAUCAGACGGAAAUAAGACACUUUUAUCCACGUGAAGGAUGGGUUGAGGUGGAUCCUCUUGAAAUCCUGGAGUCUGUUAAUACGUGCAUUAACAGUGCUAUCAAAAAUUUAGCAGAACUUGGGCGGGGUAUAGCAGACAUCAGAUGUAUUGGCAUCACAAAUCAAAGAGAGACUACAUUGGUGUGGGACAAACUAACUGGUGAACCACUGCAUAAUGCCAUAGUUUGGUUGGACUUGAGGACAUCAUCCACAGUGAAAAAGCUGCUACAGAAAGCUCCUCAGCAGGAUAAAGACUAUCUCAGGCCUUACUGCGGUCUUCCUAUUACUACAUACUUCAGUGCUGUCAAACUCUGUUGGCUUCUGGAGAACAGUGAAAAAGUGCAGGAGGCUAUCAGAGAUGGGAGAUGUUUGUUUGGCACCGUUGAUUCAUGGCUAUUGUGGAAUCUUACAGGAGGAACUAAAGGAGGUUGUCACAUGACUGAUGUGACCAAUGCAAGUCGAACAAUGCUUAUGAAUAUUAAUACACUUUGCUGGGAUGACUUUCUUUGCAGUUUUUUUGACAUUCCAAAGAGUAUACUACCUGAAAUCAGGAGUUCUUCAGAAAUCUAUGGCAAAGUGGCCAUAGGCUCACUAACUGGUGUGCCCAUAUCAGGGAUCCUGGGGGACCAACAGGCAGCUCUAGUUGGACAGACAUGUUUUAGACUAGGACAGGCUAAAAACACGUAUGGCACUGGCUGUUUUCUUCUUUACAACACAGGAACUCAGCCAGUGGAGUCCAAAACAGGUCUUCUAACAACAGUUGCCUACAAACUGGGUCCCAACAAGCCAACAGUGUAUGCGCUGGAGGGUGCUAUUGCAGUGACUGGAGCAUGUGUGCGGUGGUUACGUGACAACCUGGGUAUCAUCAGUAGUUCAGCUGAAGUUGAGACUUUAGCUCAGCAAGUAGAUGGCACACAUGGCUGUUACUUUGUUCCAGCCUUCUCUGGGCUUUUUUGCCCAUAUUGGCAAGACAGUGCCCGUGGAAUAAUUUGCGGCCUGUCGCAGUUCACAACCAAACACCACAUUGCACGAGCUGCCUUGGAGGCUGUUUGCUUUCAGACUAAAGAGCUAUUAGAGGCCAUGAACCAGGACAGCGGGAUUCCACUGACAUCUCUGCAAGUGGAUGGCGGCAUGACUGCCAACAGCCUUUUGAUGCAACUGCAAGCAGACAUCCUGCAAAUCAGAGUUGUACGACCAUCAAUGCCAGAGACAACAGCUCUAGGUGCAGCCAUGGCUGCAGGUUUUGCAGAUGGUAUUCAGGUGUGGGAUUUAGUGAAAGGAGAUGUUGCCAAAAUCACCACAGAUGUUUUUUACCCCUCCAUCCCAUCAUCAGAAUGUGAAGCUAAAUACAAGAGGUGGAAAAUGGCAGUUGAGAAGUCAUUGAACUGGGAGGAUAACGGCCCUCCUGAAGUAUGCACAGAGACACAAGAGUAGAGGAAAAAGGCAGGAAGGGAUAGAGAUUGAGUGAGAGGAAGAGAUGGCGAGGACAUCACAGCUCCUACUCUUUGUGUUCAUAGCAAUAGAUCAGUUUAGCAGUACGGAGGGCUUCUGGAAGACACUGGCUGGGGGCUUGUUCCUGUGGUCAAGCUUUGGGAUUUUUGUGUAUGCACAGCUCCGACUUGCAAGAUGACAUCCUGGCAUGCCUAGGCCACAUUUUUAUCAGCAUAUGUCUCACUCCAUUCCAAGAUAUGUUGGGCAGAACAGAAAUGCAUGUGAGAGAGAGAGCAUUGACAUCUGUCUGCAUGCCUGAUUGUAAUUCCAAAAUUAUGCUUUAAAAAUGUGCUAUAAUUUCUUUUUCUUUUAGUUUUAGCGUGUUGAGUCUGGCAGAUUUAUUGCAUGAUGACUCUUGCAGUGUACUAGCUGGCAGACAAGUUCCAUGUGGGAUCAGCAUUGUUACGUUUGUUGCAUUGUUAUCUCACUAAUUUGAGACCUCUGAACUGACUCUGAUAAACAGUCUUUCCCAAUCAUGUUUCACCAAGAAACUAGCUAUUGUUCAACUAAUUUCUAUACAUAUUAUUUUUUGUCCUUUUUUACAUGAACAAAGAGGUUGUGUCAAACCAGAUUUUUAGUCACCUCUGUUUCUUUGUGAGCUGGAAGUAAAUGCCAAAACCCAUCAGCCAUUUUGAACCAUACCGCAUGUUAUUUUGUGUGCAGUUUAAUCAUAAACAGCAUUAUUGCCAUUUGCAGCCAUCCAAAAAAGAAUUAUACAAGCAUAAGAGAAAGUCUACAAUAAACUUGAUCCCAAAGAAAGUACAGUUCAGGACAAAUGUUGCACUAGUACCAUAACCCAGAAAGUUUUUAAACAUUUUAUAAAUGUUUACAAAUGGUUGAGAACCCUGAAACGUAAACAUUGAUAAAAUGUUUAAAUGCUAUCAAGGAAGUAGUUAUUUAUUAGUGUUCUGUGAAUGUGUGCUACUGGUCCUAUGCAUUAUGAAAUCUUUGUUUUAUAAUGAUUGCAUGUCGGCUGGCAACACCUUUUGCAAAAUCUUUUCACACAUUUGAUACGCAUUUGAUCUGAAAAAUUGACUUACUAACAAUAUUUUCACAGGGUUUUGCUUAAUACGGAUAACUUCCAAUUGUUUGGGAUUCUCACUCAAAGCAGAACAUUCCAGCUAUUACUUCUCAAAAACUCCUGUAGUGUUGUCAGUUUGGAUAUGUGUAUGGUUGAUUUUAGGGGCAGAUCUUACCAAAUGCUGAAAAUAAAGUCUAGCUGGCUGGCAUACAGAACUUUUGUCUUUAAUCUUGUAACAUUUACUGGGAAUUAAGGGCUAAUUUCACUGCAGCAUUCACUGUUUGCAACCAAAGUAAUUCUUGUGUCUGGAACUGACUGAAGCAUAAUGAAAGAUUUGAAUGCCUAAUAAAAGUUUUCUAAAAUUUUUGAUGAUAGUGCUUACUGAGACUUAAAUUAACAUUGUCACCUUGUGAAAACAUAAACAUAUGUUAGUAAGUAUGCUAGUAAAUAUGAAAAUAUAUUUUGGCAUUAAGCAUAUCACUUAUGACCAUUAAAAUCUUUUAAACUUUGUUGUCUGUGAUUCGCUAUGGAAACUUCUUGCCCUCAUAAUUUCUUCAUGUUUCUCUCCCCAGUGUCUAUGAAAUUAUGAAUCACAGUUCGUUGAAAUAAUUGUUUAUAGUAUUCUCUUCUGAAAUGUGGUUGGCUUAACAACUUUUAUGCCAUUACAUCCUGCUGUUUACAUUUGUCCUGGGUUGUGCAUCAGCUACAAAUGCUAUGUUUUCAAAACAUUUGGUUCUAUAUUUCAUGUUCUUUAAUGAGCCAAAUUUGGCUUUGUGGAAAAAAUGUAUUUUAAGUUUUGGUUUGUGAUCUUUUUUAUGUUUACUCAGGAAAUGUAUUUUGUAUCUUAAUUAUUUUUGUUAAAAAAAUGUAUGUAUGAUGGAGUCUCUAAUUCAGUAUUGUGAAAGACAGAUUUCUAGCUGUCUCAGGCCUCUAUCACACUGUGUCACUUUACCAGUCUUAUCACUGUCCUCACAAAUAUCAUGACCAUGACUUCCUGACCUCUGUAGUAUUAAUGGGUAUUUUUUCCUAAGCAGCUGAGGCAAACAACAGUUAAAGCAGACUCCAAGUGAGUCAAAAUCUGUACAAAUUAACGUCUUAACAUUCUUUGAAGUUAACUGAAAACUAGGCAGUUGAACUCUUUGUAUGUACGCACAAUCCUUCAGUUGUUAAAACAGUUAUAUUUAUGAAAAAUGGAGCUGAAAUGUGAGAGGCACUCAUAUAGCAGACAUUCUUGCAAAACUGCAUGAGCAGUGCCUUAGAGCUUUGUACAUUAACCUGUAAACAUCUCAUUGUUGCCAUAGAAACAAUGAAAGGAAUGUUUUGUAUGCAGCCAUAAUAUCAACUUUUCUAAAAUUUGCUGAAAUGAGCAAGUCCAGUUUUAAAGAAAACAGUUCCUAUAUUUUUCAGUGCCAGUAGUCUGCUUAUUACAGAGGUUUACCAGAAAAACGGAAUAUUUGUAAUGUGCGGUCCGCUCCCUUCCAUAAUGUUUGUUAUAAAUAACACACCGACUUUUUCCUCUUAAUCUUCAAAGCUUUUUAUUUUAUUCAACAUCCACUUAGAUUUCUUUGAAAAGUAACAGAGUAGACUAGUAUGCCUAUUAAGGACCAGGUGUAACAUUUAUUUUAUUUAUGAACAUUGCUGUUCCAUCAACAGAAGAUGUCAGAAAAAAUUAUGAUUCCAACAGUUUCACCUUACCAUGUUGCCAAUGAAUCAAGGAUAUGAGAACGGUAUUUUUGAAGAAUGUGCAAAGUGGGAAUAUCAAAACCUUUCUGAGUUUGUUAUUGCAUAUAACCAACGAAUAUUACUACUUGAUAUGAGAAGAAAGUGUAAGGGUUUUAUAAAACAUAAAGGGCUUUUGGCUUCUAAGUAAGAAAGUGAUUACUACAGUUACAUGAUGUGGGGAUGAGCACAUAUUAUGCAUGGAAAAGUGAUUGUUCACUUAUUGCAAUGUAUGGACUCAACAGUUACUUUGAGGGUGCUAUGUAUUUGUACAUGUGUGUCCACAUGUAUGAAAGAGAAAGAAAAUCCAUACUUGCAACAAUUUCAUCAUUCAUACAUGAGCAAAUGUUGCCAUUAAACUCUUGGUGUACAAGUCCUUUAAAAGCACAUUCGAUCCUAGCCUAAAAAAUCCAUUUUGAAAAGUUUUAAAGUAUUUUGACAGCAUGUCUGUGAUGUUCUCUUCACCUGUGGUACAAUACACUUAGGCUGCCCCCAGAAGCAUUGUGGGAAGUAGGACUGGAAUUGUUUGUACAUGCAUGUUGUGUACUUGUUUACACAUGUGUAUGUAAUGGAUGUAUUUAUCUUUUGUUGCUACUUUUCUACAUGUGUGGACCAACAGUACUUAUUUUGAUUUUUUUUUAGUUUUCUUUGUUUUCUUCUAAUUUCUUGGACUUUGUGAUACAGAAGUUUAUUUGAAGAAUCUGAAUUCAAAAGGCACAAAAUAUAUAAAAUCUUAUGAAUAUAUUGUUCAUAAAAUUC